rnacentral:rRNA from 1 species
GACGAACGCUGGCGGCGUGCCUAAUACAUGCAAGUAGGACGCAGUUGCGAACGGGUGAUUUACGCGUAGGUACCUGCCUAUUAGAGGGGGAUAACUAUUGGACUCGAUACCUAAUACCGCAUACUAGUAGAUGGACCUGCGUGGUAUUAGGUAGUAGGUAGGGUAAUGGCCUACCUAGGCGACGAUACAUAGCCGACAUGGUAGGGGGAUCGGCCACACUGGGACGGAGACACGGCCCAGACUCCUACGGGAGGCAGCAGUAGGGAAUCUUCGGCAAUGGGGGGAAGCCUGAACGAGCAACGCCGCGGGAGUGAAGAAGGUUUUCGGAUCGUAAAGCUCUGUUGUUAAGGAAGCGGUACUUAAACAGAAAGGGACGGCUAACUACGUGCCAGCAGCCGCGGUAAUUC